AGCAGCCGCGGUAAUUCCAGCUCCAAUAGCGUAUAUUAAAGUUGUUGCAGUUAAAAAGCUCGUAGUUGAAUUUCGGGAUUUAUCCGUUGGUCGGGCUUCGGUCUGUACUGGCGGGAUGAAUUCCUACCUUCUGAAUAACCGGCAUGUCAUUAAUUUGGUGCGCCGGGGAAGCAGGACUGUUACCUUGAAAAAAUUAGAGUGCUCAAAGCAGGCUAUUGCCUGAAUACAUUAGCAUGGAAUAAUGAAAUAGGACGGCAUGGUUCUAUUUUGUUGGUUUCUAGGAUCACCGUAAUGAUUAAUAGGGAUAGUUGGGGGCAUUAGUAUUCAAUUGUCAGAGGUGAAAUUCUUGGAUUUAUUGAAGACUAACUUCUGCGAAAGCAUUUGCCAAGGAUGUUUUCAUUAAUCAAGAACGAAAGUUAGGGAUCGAAGACGAUCAGAUACCGUCGUAGUCUUAACCAUAAACUAUGCCGACUAGGGAUCGGACGAUGUUAAUUUUUAAUGUACUCGGUUCGGCGCCGUU
rnacentral:rRNA from 1 species